rnacentral:lncRNA from 1 species
CCUGAGAGGUGAAUCCAUUGGAUCUCAUUGCACAGCCCCACCAAGUCCAGGAAGUCUUGUGCUCACAUCUUUCAGGACAGCUCUUCUUCCAGAAGUCGCCAGCGGAGUUGACCACAGUUCUUGGAAUCCAGACCAGAGGCUUAGAAAACAAUAACAGAGACCCACCGAGGUCUGAGU